CAGCAAUCAUUCCUGCAGCUGCGCCUCAUGACAGAGGGGCCACCAGCGAUAGGUGGUCGGAGGUCCAUGCUUCACAUACCACGCAUCUGACAACCGAGGAGUGAAGUGGUCCGAUAUGACCGUAAAGUUAGAAGGGGGUUUUAAAGUCAACCUGUUGGGCUCUGUGACAGAUACAGCCACGGGGUUCUCCUUCUCUUUGACCAGACCUCAGUAAAGACCUCAGGGCUCAGGAAAGACAGAGUUGGACUAAUCAUCCACCUUUCGAGCUGAAAUGAAGACACACUACAAUCUACGCAGCUCCAGUAAAAUUAAAGCCAAAUCUUUUCCUGAGAAAA
ensembl:lncRNA